rnacentral:lncRNA from 12 species
UGGGAAUCUAGUUAUGUCAUUAUGCCCAGCAUUAAAGCAUCUGUCUUUAUAAUGUGAACACCGGUGCUUGCACUGAGGGGAAGUUUGGAGAAGUUCAGGUGACAAGUAAAAUUUGAG